GUUAAAAAAGAUUUACCUCAUAGUAAAGACAACUGGAUCUGAAGCGUAAUGAUGGUCUUCAGAAGGCCUCUCAUGGUGGUCUUGAUUCAGAGGUUUGAGAAGACUACCAAGCACCAGAGCCAGCUAACAGGUGGACCAAACAUCAAGCCAGAAUUCUGCAUGAGUCAGGUAAGCAGAAUAAAAGACGCUGUAAAUAAACAAUAAUAAAAGAUGGUCAUUAAUGACUUAAUGCUUUUAUAUUCAUGUUAAUGCUUUGAAAAUUAUCUUAUUUCUUUCAGAAUUUAUGUCUUUUGAUAUUAUUGCCAAAUGCAACAAAUGGAAAAAAGCAUACUUUAUGACAACCUUAGCAGCAGAACCCAUGACUUUCUCCUGGGUAGACGAGAAAAAAAGUUUGGUAUCAACACCCAUCUAACAAUUAAGAAAGUUAUCUACAGCCACACAUCCACUGUAUACCAAGUUAUGAUGAUCAAUUAUGAGAAUGCAAAGGAUUUAUAGAUCAGUAAACAAUCAACAAAAAGGUAAUGUCUUAAUAUAUUUCUGCUUUUGUUACUUAUUCAUGUAUUUGAAUUACAUAAUUCAAAAUCAAAUGUUAAUAAUUAUAGGGUUUCAACUUGUUGCAGCUUUACAAAAAAUGUAGAAUUUGUAGGAGCAUGGACAACUGAGUAACAAAGUCAUAUUAUGCAGAUGGGUGCUCAUGGUGGCCUCCAAAUAAAUACAUGGACAGGCUGCUAAAGAGGGUCAGGAUGAUGGAGAUGCAAGAGCCAAAGACAGCACGGACCAAACACCAGGCCAGAAUUCUGCAUGAGUCAGUUUCCAGCCUUUUUCACAAAGUUGCCGACAACUGGAAGAAUGUCCCAAAUUGCUGAAAAAAGAAAUUCAGUAAGUCCUUAUAAAAGAGACAGUUUAAAAGGUAAAACGGCUUCAUUUAACUUCAAAAAU